GAUCGAAAACAAAUCGUCCUGCACUACC
rnacentral:sRNA from 1 species